AGAUGGUGAGUCGUGGGCCAGUGAGGGAGAUGAUACACAGAGAGCAGCAGCCUGAUUUGGAGGGGAUCUGUCUUGCAGGGACCACUCUGAGGUGUGUUCCAGACCAUGCUCAGCGGUGCCCAGCAGGAUGGAGCUCUGCUGUUUGUGGAGGCCACCUGCUCACGCACCCACUGAGCUCAUGACUCCUCCCACCCUGCCCUGCUUCACGGCCCUGCCCCUGAAGGCUGCCUCCUGGGUCCUCUCCAGAUAAGCCACAUUCACUUGCAUCCUUAACUGGACACUUCUAUCCAAAGACAGGCUGGAGCCUUUGGAAGCUGACAGCCACAGCUUGGGGAACAGUGUGACCCCAGGCUUUCCUGGCAUUCACGUUGAAUCACUUGUCUAAUGUCACACAGCAUUUAAGAGGCAGAUCCAGGAUUUGAAGCAGAUCACUGGGCCCUGGAGGCUACACUGUUCACCACCCUGCUGUGAUGCCUUCAGAAGAUAAAACAGGCACAUUCCGGGUAAAUAUGCAGGCUAACGCAUGCAUGGAAAAAAUUUCCCUGGUAUGAACAUGUACGUGAGUAGAAAAAGUUGCUUAAGACCUAUGAUGCCAGAGAAAGUGGGCAUGACUGUGACUCAAGAUGUGGAGCUGGCGUGAAAAGAGGGGCAGGAACUGCAUCCGCAGUGAGCCUCCCAUGCAUUCCUGGGGGCUCCAGCAGCAAAGCAGGAUUUUGGAAAUAAGGAAAGCUGCUUGUUCGAAAUAAUUUUCUUCUGUCAGUCCAGCCUUUAAUUAGCCAAGGUAAAAACAUUGAACUAGGAAUCCCGAGACUUAAGCUUGAGUCCUGACCCAACCUAUAAAUUCACUGUGUGACCUUGGGAGGCUUGCAUAACCUCUCUGAGCUUUCCCUUCUUUGUAAAUUGCACAAUAUUACCUUCAAAUGUAAUCAUGUGAGAAAGAAACUGCAGCUGCUUCUUGGGUUUAGAGCUGCAGCAUCUGUGUGGGUUCUCAGAAGUACCAUAGCCCUGACUACAAAUUAUCUCAUAGCCAAGAGAACAACCUCAUGGAACUCGAAAGUUGAAAUUCACUCAGUCUGGGUUUUUUAUAUUUAUUCUGGGGAACUUUUGGGGAAAUGACUACAGUCAACCACUCUUAUGCAACAAUAAAGACGCAGACAUUUUUUGAAAGAAAACUGAGUUCUAGUCAAAUUAAUGAGAUUAAUAUAAGUAAUUAAUUUAUUGGAGAAGAAUUUAUCAAUUUGGAUAGCCUUUUAUUUUCAUUUGGAAUUUGAAAUUACAUUAGUAGAGAUAAGUUGAUGGUUUUUAGUUUCAUUAUUAUGACACGUUGCAUUAAAAACAAUACUUUCCAGGUGACAUCGAUAGUUAAGAAAAAGUUAGAGGAUAAAACCUCAAAAAGAGUAAGAAAUCUAAAAGUCUAGAUCAGUGUUUUACAGAACUCAGGUUUUCAGAUGACUCCUUUGGGAUAAUCAGCUUUCUGCAGUUAUGUUAUGUAUGGGACAUUUUUGGGUGGCAAUAAAGAAAAAGAGGUAGGGGUCAGGCCUAUGGGACUGGGAGGCCCGCUACGCAACUCAGAAUGGCUGGGACUUCUCGGAGCCCAUGCUUCCAUUUAGAGGGCCCAAUAGAACCGUUUUCUUUGUGGCAGAUAAAACCAUGGCUAAGUGCAGUGGCUUACGCCUGUAACCCCCACACUUUGGGAGGCUGAGGUGAGAGGGUCAUUUGAGGUCAGCAGUUCACAACCAGCCUGGCCAAAAUGGUGAAACCCGUCUCUAUUAAAAAUACAAAAAUUAGCUGGGCAUGGUGGCAGGCACUUGUAAUCCCAGCUACUCAGGAGGCUGAGGCAGGAGAAUUGCGUGAACCUAGGAGACGGAGGUUGCAGUGAGCAGAGAUCUCACCACUGCACCCAAGCCUGGGAGACAGAGCAAGACUCUGUCAAAAAAAGAAAAAAAGAAAAAAAAAAAAACCACACAAAAACAAAAAGGACCCAGAAGCAGUCCUUCAGGUUAAAUGAUACUUCCUUGUCAUAUGAAGGCCGCAUGGGCCCAGUGCCCUGCUGGGCAAAUGGAGUUUCCCAGUAAUUCGGAAUUGGGGGAACCUACACUGUGAGCCCCAUGGCGCUCUGAAGGCUGAGACUUGGUGUUAGCCAGGAACUGUCCUUUUGUUGUUGUGUUACAUCACUGUGUUAAAUUGAACCAUUCUGGUGUUCUAGGCUUGUUUUAUCAUAUUUGUAAAUGUUUCGGUUUAGUAGUUACAGGAGAGUUAGAGCGUAUGGUAAUGUUAUCUGAUCUGACUAAAGUACUAUUUAAGGACAGCGGUGGGAAAUAUGGCCUAUGAGAGCCCAAAUGUUACAGGCUACAACUGAGACUCCAAAGAGAACCUGGCCUCUCAGACUCAGCAAAUGGAAUUCUUGGUUCAAGGGCUGGUUUGCCCAGCAUGUGUCGGUGCCCACACUUGGAGCAACCUGCCAGCACCAGGAUGGGUCCCACUGGAGGAAGCAGCAGUCGAUGCUCUAAUGCGGUGGGAAGAACAAGGAGCAAUUCUGAAAACAGAAGUGUCAAAGUUACCAUCCCUUCUCUUGGUUCCUGAGAAUCCUUGGCCAGAAGACACAAACACCUGCCUUCCUUGCUCCAGGAACCAGAGAGGUGGUGUAGACCUCAGGAAGUCUGCUCAAGGACAAGAGGCAGUCAGCGGCUUCCAGAACAGCUUCUAGAUUGUGGGGGAGUGGGGAAGGGCUGGUCUGGGAGCAGGAAGAAGCUCAGUUCUG
rnacentral:lncRNA from 10 species